rnacentral:rRNA from 1 species
AUGAAUUGCUUAAGCUAGAACUGCCGGGGAGGGGGGAAUUCCCGGACAGUUCGUGCGCUGACGACCUUAUGUAGGUCACAUUCCCCCAUGUUUGUGUUCUUGUGUGAAACGAGACAGAAGGAAGCGAAGAUGAAGAGGUUGAGAGGUCGGCUGGGCCUGAAGGGUUUUUGUGGCGUCGACAGUUCUGACAUGAGCGGUGGAUUGGCAGUAUAUUGGCAUGAAAAUUGUGUGGUGGAAGUGCUAGACAAAGACGAUCGUCACGUCGAUGCUCUAGUUCGGGUGCAGGAAGGGGCGGAGCAAUGGAGAAUUACGUUCGUAUAUGGAGAACCGCGGGUAGAGAAUCGACAUCUCAUGUGGGCAAAAUUACAGAAUUUAAAAUCUGUAAAUGAUCUUCCGUGGUUGGUUAUCGGGGAUUUUAACGAAGCAAUGUGGGAUUUUGAACACUUUUUAGCUACACCAAGGCCAGAGCCACAGAUGAUAUCAUUCAGGGAUGCGCUUGAAGUUUGUGGCUUUGUAGACUUGGGUUUUUCGGGGGUCCCUUUCACCUAUGACAAUAAAAGAAGCGGCACGAACAAUGUCAGGGUGAGGCUUGAUAGGGCCGUUGCAACAAAUGAGUGGAGAAAUCUAUUCUCUUUUGCUUCCGUACAUCAUAUUCUUAGUCCUUGUUCGGACCAUGUGGUAGUACUGCUCAAAGGCGAGGCGGACUCAGGACCGGUUGGGCCUAUUUAG